GGACACAGAACGAAAUAUUUCAAAAUCACAAGAAAAUCAAUCAGUUUUUGCGAGAAAUAGUCACGAGGCAUAAGCAAUCAUGGGAUCCAGGGACUUCAUUGAUGAUUUCUUAGCAGAACAAGAGAAGAUGAAGAACACACCGAAUAUGAUUUUCCUGGAGAGCAAGCUGAUUGGCUCAGGUCCACGAGGAGAUUGACAGAGUGAUUGGGAAGGAGCGAAGGCCAAAGCUGGAAGACCGGGAGGAAAUGCCAUUCACUAAUGCUGUUAUCCAUGAAAUCCAACGCUUAGGGAAUAUUCUUCCAAUUUCACUACCUCAUCAAACAUACAGAGGUCUCCCAAAGCAUUGCUCAUGGACCAUAAGCUCCAGGUAGCAGUGAGGAAGAAGUGUACUGCACAGUUAGAUUGAAUAUCUUCUGCCGAUGAUGGGUCAUUGGGACUGCAAGUCAUAGCCCUCAUUCUAAGGGCCAGAAUACAAGACUGUUCCUCAUUGCUUGGAGGGCCUGUUACAAGUAUGUUGCUGCCUAAUAUGUCCCUUUGAAUGUCUUUCAGGGAACAACAAUCAUCCCAAAUCUUUCCUCAGCCUUGUGUUACGGACUCAGUGAAAGUCCCUUUAAGAUAGAGAGUGUGUGUGUAUGUGUGUGUGGGGCGUGCUUACGUCAAUAGAAGAUAAAGGACGUAAUGACGUUGUUGAAAAAGUUAGAAGAAGAAGUAGAGAGAGAUAGAGAAGGGAGAGAGACGCCAGCCUGCUAAUUUUCUCUAUCAAUGGAUGAAAAACAGUAACUGUGUCUGCCACUGAAAUCCAUGUAUGGAAGUUGGAAGUAAUCCGGUGGAGUUCACUUUGUUGCUGACCUGUAGAAGGAAACAGGUAUUUGUGUGGACGACCACGAUUCGGAUGCUUUUCGGGGUGAGGAAGUCACUACAGAGUAAACACUGGAGAGUCGCUGGGGUUCCAUCGUGGAACAUUUGGAUUUUGUAUUUACUCUCCCUAUGUUCUCUACAUCUACGUCUUAUCUUCAGACAACGGUGGUUGUUGAAGAAGCCCUUGCUCAUGUUUCACCUUAUGGCUUGCGGAACUGAACUUUAAGAACCAUUCCGGAACUUGGAGUUUGGGACUUUGUCACACACACACACGACGAGUUUAGUUUUGGGGUUAACGUUCGAGGUUUAACAUUUUUGAAUUCUAACAUACUAACAUUUUGACUUUUAUUUUACGUAUUAUCAUAAGUAGUGAUUAAUAAAAUAGUUUUUAACACUGAAUCAUGCUCAGUGUGUUUCUUUUGUUGCUGGUUCGUGACACUGGUUUGAUGAAGACA